rnacentral:lncRNA from 1 species
GAGGUUUUGUGUUUUUGUUUUCUUUUUUUUUUUUUGCGUUCUAUUUAUUUUUAGUUUUCAAACAUGUUUAAAAUAUUGUUUCUGUUUUGGUAGGAAGAAGGUACUUUUUCAAUAACCUACUCUCUGGGGGAACUGUGUGGCAAUGGAGUGUGUGUGUGUGUGUGUGUGUGUGUGUGUGUGUGUGUCUUUCAGAGUUCAGCAGAGACUCUGAAGCAAGGAAAGUGUUUUGUGUUCGUCCCGCUGUGGCCUUGGUCUAGUUGUAGAUUACCACAUCCUGGGUAGUUUUACACACACCAACUUCAUGUGCUGCUGAAGCCAGAGGCUGUGAAUCCGCAGAAAAAGACCUAGUUCUUUUGAGCUCUGGUGAGAGACCCGAUACCCAACCAUUUAUUCCAGCUUUUCGAAUUUGUGCUGGUUGCAGGUUCACAGAGUAUGAAGGCCUCUGGUUCUAUUCAGCUGCCUCCUCUUUCGGUUUUUUAAUCUGUGGGCCUCCACUCAGUCAUCGAUGGGAGAAGAUUUCGGUUGGAGCUGCUUUGGCUUACAAAGGUAAUUGUAGCUGUUUGUGGAGAAAGGCUGACCUUAUAACCCCUCACCAAUUUAUCCAGAGACUAAGUACCGUCCUUUGUCGUAUAGCUGCCAUAUACCUUUUUAAUGUGCAUUAUUUCAUAUUUGUUUUUUACCAGGUGAUAUUUAGAGACAAGGAUAAAGUGACAUUGAAUGUAAAAGAAGAAAGUAUUGGUAAAGAAAUAUUCAAGGAGGUGUGUUCAAGUGGAAGGGGACGAGGAUAAACCUGUGGCUGAUUCAUGCCGAUGUUUGGUAGAAAGUAACACAGUAGUGUAAAGCAAUUACCCUUCAAUUAAAAAUAAAUAAAUUUACCAAGAGACA